CCUACGGGAGGCAGCAGUGGGGAAUAUUGCACAAUGGGCGAAAGCCUGACGCAGCGACGCCGCGUGAGGGAUGAAGGUCUUCGGAUCGUAAACCUCUGUCAGCAGGGAAGAACGGUCACUGUGCUAAUCAGCAGUGAAUUGACGGUACCUGCAAAGGAAGCACCGGCUAACUCCGUGCCAGCAGCCGCGGUAAUACGGAGGGUGCGAGCGUUAAUCGGAAUUACUGGGCGUAAAGCGCUCGUAGGCGGUAUGUCAAGUCAAGGGUGAAAUCUCCGCGGUCAACGUGGGAACUGCCUUUGAAACUGGCAAACUGGAGUGUGGGAGAGGAUAGUGGAAUUCCAGGUGUAGGAGUGAAAUCCGUAGAUAUCUGGAGGAACAUCAGUGGCGAAGGCGACUAUCUGGCACAUAACUGACGCUGAGGAGCGAAAGCGUGGGUAGCAAACAGGAUUAGAUACCCCAGUAGUC
rnacentral:rRNA from 1 species